UUUUGUUUGGCUCAGAAGGUAAAGCGUCUGUCUAUGAUGCAGGAGACCCAGGUUUGAUCCCUGGGUCGGGAA
rnacentral:tRNA from 1 species